rnacentral:lncRNA from 1 species
UGGGAAAAAACGCAUUCGAAAAAAUAUAGUUACUUCCGCCAAGAAAACGACAAAGUGAUAUAUUAAAUUACAGACUAUUUUGUCUAUUAAGCCGUAUUUGCUAAUUUGCUACUUCACGGCGCACACGAAUUCAUUUAUAUCGGAACAUGAUCAGUGAUCAAACGCAAUGUCUCAUUACCCAAAUAUUGGUCAUGAUCAGGUUUGGAAGCGAUCACGGGAAUUAUGCCCUUUUUUGCUGGUAUUAUGCCCUUAUAUUACGCACUUUAUUACGCUUCACGAGAGCGGCGCAAAUUAGAUAGUUGAAGUUAUGAUAAUGUAAAGUUGUGUACGCAAUUUAGUUGUUUGGGCAAGAAACAUCAUGAGUAAUGUAAGUAAUGAAAUAAUGCUGAAACGCGCCCUUUUGGCAGCCAGGCAAGGAAACCUUAAAAUGCAUAUGCGUGGAUCAAUGUAUUAUUGUAUAAAAGAGCUGUAAGUUGUAAAUGUAUUCAGAUCACUAGAUCAGUAGAGAAUAGAAUUGGGAUUAGAUUAAUCGCUGGAAGUGGUUAGCAUUGCAUAAUUUAAAUACAAAUUGCAAAUUUCGACACGUUAUAAUGCUGUUUCCUGACCAUCAGAUUUCUGUCAAAUCGUCCCCCAAAGUCCAGGAAAUGGCAUUUCAGAGACUCUAAAUUCAAAAACUUUCGGGGGGCAUGCCCCCGGACCCCCCUAGACAAACCUCGCACCUUCGGCGCUCGGCUCGUGCCUUCGGCCCUCGUUUAUCAAGUGUGAUAUUAUAGGGGCGCAUAUUGGUUGACAGUCCACUGGCCCCCCCAGAAAAAUAGUACCCAGCACGCCACUGGUCGCACUGCUGGCAUUGUUUGUAAAUGCAAUUGUGCAAACUCCCGAAAUACAGCACUCCUUGAGCCGGCGGUGGGCACCAACACUAAAGUUCUUCCAUUAGUAUAUAAUACAAUGAUUUUCCUCAUAGGACAACUUGUCACAAUAUUCUGAGUUAGAUUUACACUCGGAUUCAAAGCAGUGCUCACACUUAUUCGACCGACAACACUCCCUUGUACCGCUGCGAUCACUUAUUUGACGCAGAAAUGCCCAUCACACGACGAUGAAACUAUAGUACUCAACCUUAACAGUUUCGAUCACUGUUAUACGACGACAACAAGUUGGGCCAAAUAAUUCAUGACAAUCUUCGUUUGAACUGCAAUUGUCACAAGCAACUAUUCUAGUUAUUUCGAUUCGUUCAAAAACAAUACACGUAUGACAACUACCAAAACCGACAAUUCCAUGCCCCUUUUAAAUUCUGUAGAACACAACUACUUCGAAAUAAAUGAAAUCCGAGAGAGCACUGUCUACAUACGUCCGUUGUCUGUAUCAUAUAUCUGUAUUUAUCAAGUACGUCAAUUCAGAGUUAUAAUGACGUUGAAUAGUUUUUUUCUGGGAUUCCCCACGAUUGACUAACUAAAUAUGAGCCAACUCAUGCGUGGAUUGUACAUGCUGUGCGGUAUUAUUUCGAUCUCGAGUCGGCAAUGUCUUGAUUUAUUGGAAGAAAAUUAAGGUCCAGAAUUAAACAAUAUUACAUGAAUAUCACAUAAAUAAAUAAAUAAAACAAACAAACACAACUUUGACUUAGUCAGUGUAUAAAGUAAAGCGAAAAAAACGCACGAAAAUUCUUGGCUAAACCCACGAUGGCAUACCGUUAUGCAAACGGAAUCUUCAAAUCGCAUUUAAAAGUAAGUUGUGCAUGUUUUAUUUAGCAUUCUCACGCCGCCAUUUUUGGGUGGCUUUUCAGCCAAAGUCUGCGAGAUAAGUCCACAUAACAGCGACUUUUUAUAAAUUUUUGGACGACUGAUAGUGAAUUUGCUUUGUAAAUGGUUAGUUUAUUUUGAAAAAUUGAUUUUCACAUUGUUUCAAUUGUCUACAUUGGUUAACGAGAAUUAGAUGCCACCCAAAAAUGGCGGAUAUUCGUCAUCGUUGAACCUAUAUUACCUAUUAAAUAAACAAAAUUUUGAUCUAGACAAGUCUAGACAAAAAUUUCAUCACAGCUUUGAAAGAGCAUCACAAAAUUAGUAAUAUUCCGAAGUUUCGUUGCGAAAUGUUGUAAAAUGCGGAUAAUAUAGCCCUACGAAGUUUAUCGUUUUCCAGUCAUUUUGUAUUGCGCACGAGAAAUUGAUACCGCUUCCUGAAAAAAUGUAUCAAUUUCCCGUGCGUAAUACAAAAUGACUGAAAAACGGCAAACUUUGCAGGGCUAUAUCCGCAUUUUACAACAUUUCCCAACGAAACGUCGGAAUAUUACUAAUUUUGUGAUGCUUUUUCAAGCUGUGGUAAAAAUUUUUGUCUAGACUUGUCUAGAUCAAAAUUUUGUUCAUUAGGUAAAUAGGUCCAUUGUUGGUCGAAACGUCUACGUCAUUUUACUUGUAUUUUACUUGUAUUGAUCGAAACGUCUACGUCAUUUUACUUGUAUUGACGUAGUGUGUAAAUAAAUGCUAAACAAUUAACGCACGAAGCAGAGCGUGCUUGUCUGCACGAUCAGUGUUGCUUAAAAAUGUCUAUGACAAGUAAGAUCGUUUAUAUUUCGACGAAAUACGUUUGUACGGUGUUUUAAACAUGACAAAAUUGUUGUUUUUAGUGUUGACUGUAAAUGUGGCGUUUCUCAAUGUAACAGUUGAGGUAGUAAAGGGCGAAUACUGUGAAACGUACGAAGACUGCCCGAAUGUAAGGGGAUGCUGUCGGCAGAACGAGUGUGUUAGAUGUUCAAACCCUGGUUGUAAAUCUGAUUCGGAAUGUACGCCAGGGCAACGAUGCUGCGAAGGAUCAAGUCAAUGUAAUUUCUGGUGUGCAGAAACUUGUGCAGCUGACGGAUAUUGUAUUGGAACCGGUAAAUAUAGCUGAUUAAAAUAUAUACUAGAUGAUAGCUUUACAGCCUUUACUUUUAGACUACAGUGGAAGCCCGCCAUACGACCACCUCGUUAAUACGACCACUCCGAUAAAUCAUAAUACGACCACUUUUCAUUUCCCCGAACAUCACCUAAGUAUUUUUGAAGACCUCGUUUAUACGACCACCUUGUUAAUACGACCAACAACCACCUUUUGAUGUCCCCAUCUCUUUAUUCUUUAAUACGACUAUUUAAGCCCCAUUGGCCGUUUAUGUAGUUUUAAAGACAAGCGUGAUUUAAUACAUCAUAAGAGAGGUUAAGAUACCCCGGUUUACGGGUACGGGUG